UUCUAGCCAGUGCUGUGUCUGUAAGUCACAACCAAUCAGGUUACAUGAAGGCACAGCCUGCGACC
rnacentral:miRNA from 10 species